rnacentral:rRNA from 1 species
GACGAACGCUGGCGGCGUGCUUAACACAUGCAAGUCGAACGGAAAGGCCCUGCUUUUGUGGGGUGCUCGAGUGGCGAAAGGGUGAGUAACACGUGAGUAACCUGCCCUUGACUUUGGGAUAACUUCAGGAAACUGGGGCUAAUACCGGAUAGGAGCUCCUGCGGCAUGGUGGGGGUUGGAAAGUUUCGGCGGUUGGGGAUGGACUCGCGGCUUAUCAGCUUGUUGGUGGGGUAGUGGCUUACCAAGGCUUUGACGGGUAGCCGGCCUGAGAGGGUGACCGGCCACAUUGGGACUGAGAUACGGCCCAGACUCCUACGGGAGGCAGCAGUGGGGAAUAUUGCACAAUGGGCGGAAGCCUGAUGCAGCAACGCCGCGUGCGGGAUGACGGCCUUCGGGUUGUAAACCGCUUUCGCCUGUGACGAAGCGUGAGUGACGGUAAUGGGUAAAGAAGCACCGGCUAACUACGUG